rnacentral:rRNA from 1 species
UACCAGCACCCCGAGUGGUCGGGACGAUUAUUGGGCCUAAAGCAUCCGUAGCCGGUCAUGCAAGUCCUCCGUUAAAUCCACCUGCUUAACAGAUGGGCUGCGGAGGAUACUACAAGGCUAGGAGGCGGGAGAGGCAAGCGGUACUUAGUGGGUAGGGGUAAAAUCCGUUGAUCCAUUGAAGACCACCAGUGGCGAAGGCGGCUUGCCAGAACGCACUCGACGGUGAGGGAUGAAAGCUGGGGAGCAAA